rnacentral:rRNA from 1 species
AUUGAACGCUGGCGGCAGGCCUAACACAUGCAAGUCGAGCGAGCGGCGGACGGGUGAGUAAUGUAUGGGGACUGCCCGAUAGAGGGGGAUAACUACUGGAAACGGUGGCUACUACCGCAUACUAUCGGAUAACCCAUAUGGGAUUAGCUAGUAGGUGGGGUAAAGGCUCACCUAGGCGACGAUCUCUAGCUGGUCUGAGAGGAUGAUCAUCCACACUGGGACGUAGACACGGCCCAGACUCCGACUCAAUCAACAGUUCUAAAUAUUGCACAAUGGGCGCAAGCCUGAUUCAGCCAUGCCGCGUGUAUGAAGAAGGCCUUAGGGUUGUAAAGUACUUUCAGCGGGGAGGCGUUACCCGCAGAAGAAGCACCGGCUAACUCCGUGCCAGCAGCCGCGGUAAUUC